rnacentral:rRNA from 1 species
GACGAACGCUGGCGGCGUGCUUAACACAUGCAAGUCGAGCGGUAAGGCCCUUUCGGGGGUACACGAGCGGCGAACGGGUGAGUAACACGUGGGUGACCUGCCCUCAGCUCUGGGAUAAGCCUGGGAAACCGGGUCUAAUACCGGAUAUGACUCCAUGACGCAUGUUGUGGGGUGGAAAGCCUUGUGCGGCUGAGGAUGGGCCCGCGGCCUAUCAGCUUGUUGGUGGGGUGAUGGCCUACCAAGGCGACGAUCGGUAGCUGGUCUGAGAGGACGACCAGCCACACUGGGACUGAGACACGGCCCAGACUCCUACGGGAGGCAGCAGUGGGGAACAUUGGACAAUGGGCGAAAGCCUGAUCCAGCGAUGCCGCGUGUGUGAAGAAGGCCUGCGGGUUGUAAAGC